GCCUAUAUCUUGAGCGGUAUUCAUCUGUCAAAAUUUGGAUAAGUGGAUUAGACUUUUGGAUUUAUAAUUCAUCAUUCAGUUGAUUUCAAUGUUUGAUGAACACUGUUACUUUGCCAUGAGCAAGGUUAUAAACAUGGAAUAUCAUUCCUGACGUGAAGAAGUUAAAGGGGACAUACCAUGUUGGGAGAUAAACUAAUUCAGGUAAUAGAAGUGAUCAAUAGCAUAGCUCGUCACAGGGAUCGACAAUCAUGGAAGAAUCAUGAGAGAGUUAUGAAUAGGAGUUCCUGAGAUCUUUCUAGUCUUCGUUUCUUUCCAUAUAUGAUAGGGUAAGGAUAAGAAGAUGUUUGGAUUAUUAGUACUAUUUAAUUGCAUUCUGAUAGAUGUGUGGAACAAUGUAGAUAAAGGUAUUCUCAAUUGGAUACAUCAAGCACUAUAUCAAGUAUCAACUCUCUGAAGGCAGAACUUGAUGAAGGAUUUGAAUUCCUUUGUGUAUGGAAGAAAACUCAAUUGGCAGCAUGAUUACAUUUAUCAAGAUAAUAAACACUUGGCUCUUGAUAUGCAUUGCAAGGAACUCAGUUCUACACCUACAGUGAGAAAUUAGAUUUCAAGCAUCACAAUAGCCUUUUUUAUAGAUUCCCCACUAGGAAAUGUGCCAAAUGGAGUGUGCCGGUGGAUAUGGGCAGUGUUAUGAAAUGAGUCAUGAAUAGUGAGUAUAUGGACAGAUUAUUGGCCCCUCUAGCUGCAAAGACCAUUGUACAUCAAAGAGAACACAGAGGACAAACCGGCAAACAGAAAGAUGACUUCUCUUCUUUCAGAAACCAUCAGAUAUGUUAUUGUCUAUGUUAGUUAAUCUCAAAGCCAACGCCUUGAUAGCCUUUCAAUCAUCGAAGAAGAAACGACUAGCAUCAAAAAAGAGUAUAGACUGGUUAAACCAGCAAAGAAAAAGUAAAAUGCAAGGGACCUUGCUUGGCAUCGGUUACUGUCGUUGCCUUCAUUAUCAAUGCCCAUUUCAGAGAAUAAAUGGAGUCACCUUCAAAUCUGAAAAAUUGGAAGAACGGUAAAAAGGAGAGGGCAUGCGUAAUUCCAUGAUUGGGUGGAGAUGAGGAGUCGUGUGGGAGUCUCCUGGAAAUUAGUAGUACAUGGGGUGACGCAUUUCGUAGCUUCUGGUGUGAGACUUGCCACGGUUGCUAAGGUGGACGCAGGCAAUGACAACCUACAAUCAAAAUUGGGACACGUCUGUUAAUAUGUUAAUGGUCUUUGGAUUGUAAGAAACCCAACCCAUAUUGUUACAAUUUAGGCUUUAUCCAUAUUGUUAUGUUCAUACUCUGAACAUGCGUAGAUGUGCAUAGGCUGGCCAUUUGAUCGAGCAUGCAAAGGGCUAUAGCCAGAGUUCUGAUUGUAUCUUUUACAUGAAAGAAUGAUUGAUCUCCUUUCACGACGGACCGUCGGGUCCCACUCUUUGUAUAGAUCUCAAAGCACUUCGAACU